GUACGCCGCGUGCGGGAUGAAGGCCUUCGGGCUGUAAACCGCUUUCAGCAGGAACGAAAAUGACGGUACCUGCAGAAGAAGGAGCGGCAACUACGUGCCAGCAGCCGCGGUGACACGUAGGCUCCAAGCGUUGUCCGGAUUUAUUGGGCGUAAAGAGCUCGUAGGCGGUUGAGUAAGUCGGGUGUGAAAACUCUGGGCUUAACCCGGAGACGCCAUCCGAUACUGCUCUGACUUGAGUUCAGGAGGGGAGUGGGGAAUUCCUAGUGUAGCGGUGAAAUGCGCAGAUAUUAGGAGGAACACCGGUGGCGAAGGCGCCACUCUGGACUGAAACUGACGCUGAGGAGCGAAAGCAUGGGUAGCAAACAGGAUUAGAUACCCUGGUAGUCCAUGCCGUAAACGGUGGGCACUAGGUGUGGGUUCCAACUAACGGGAUCCGCGCCGUCGCUAACGCAUUAAGUUGCCCCGGCUGGGGAAGUACGGUCGCAAGACUAAAACU
rnacentral:rRNA from 1 species